GACGAACGCUGGCGGCGUGCUUAACACAUGCAAGUCGAACGGAAAGGCCCUGCUUUUGUGGGGUGCUCGAGUGGCGAACGGGUGAGUAACACGUGAGUAACCUGCCCUUGACUUUGGGAUAACUUCAGGAAACUGGGGCUAAUACCGGAUAGGAGCUCCUGCUGCAUGGUGGGGGUUGGAAAGUUUCGGCGGUUGGGGAUGGACUCGCGGCUUAUCAGCUUGUUGGUGGGGUAGUGGCUUACCAAGGCUUUGACGGGUAGCCGGCCUGAGAGGGUGACCGGCCACAUUGGGACUGAGAGACGGCCCAGACUCCUACGGGAGGGAGCAGUGGGGAAUAUUGCACAAUGGGCGGAAGCCUGAUGCAGCAACGCCGCGUGCGGGAUGACGGCCUUCGGGUUGUAAACCGCUUUCGCCUGUGACGAAGCGUGAGUGACGGUAAUGGGGAAAGAAGCACCGGCUAACUACGC
rnacentral:rRNA from 1 species